GAGUUUGAUCAUGGCUCAGGAUGAACGCUAGCGGCAGGCUUAACACAUGCAAGUCGAACGGCAGCACAGGUAGCAAUACUGGGUGGCGAGUGGCGCACGGGUGCGUAACACGUAUGUAACUUGCCUCUGACUGGGAAAUAGCUUCGAGAAAUCGAAAUUAAUGUCCCAUAAUAAAUCGAAAAGGCAUCUUUUUGAUUUUAAAACUCCGGUGGUCAGAGAUAGACAUGCGCUCGAUUAGCUAGUUGGCGGGGUAACGGCCCACCAAGGCGACGAUCGAUAGGGGACCUGAGAGGGGUAUCCCCCACACUGGUACUGAGACACGGUCCAGACUCCUACGGGAGGCAGCAGUGGGGAAUUUUGGACAAUGGGGGAAACCCUGAUCCAGCCAUUCCGCGUGAGUGAAGAAGGCCU
rnacentral:rRNA from 1 species